AAAAGUUGGUGGGGGGAUUUAGAAUCGUAAUUUUCCUGUUUUGCAGCAUGGAUUUUAUUUUCAACAAACUCGAUAUGUCUAUUGUUGAAAACAGAAAUCCGACGAAGUUUUUGGAGAAAAAAGAAACGAAAAGGAGUCGGGGUGCUUAUUUGACAUAAUCGCUGAGUUUAAGUCUUAAUAAAGAACAUUCCAUGAGCAGUAAAUGUCCAAUAAAUAUAAUGAUGGUAGUUUAUUUUAUUUAGUUCAAAUAAUGGUGAAUACAUCUAUUGGGAUUGGUACGCAGGAAGUAAAUGUUCAUAACUACAUGUCGCAAGCUAUUUUGUCUUUCAUUCGGUCGACUUGGCAAACUUACUGACACCGUAAGUUAAGGAAUACAGUUAAAACGGAAUAUUUUUAUAGCGUUCACCGCAACGGUGUUAACCCUACCGCGUGUGCGAUGGACGAAAACGUAAACCCGAUUGAUUGUUCUGACAGUCCAUUCCGCUCAAACCCGACCCUCCCUGCUGGCUUCGAUGAUGAUGAUGAACUGCUGAAUGCCGACAUUAUCACUGGAACAGCUUUCAGUAAACAAUGGCUGUUUACUGUUCUUAUGAAACUGAUUCAGGAGGUAGACAAACAGAAUGAACCCGGCAACGACGAUUCUGAGUUUGGUGUUGAUGUCAAUGAAGACCUUCAAGAUGAACUCUGUAACCUUUGGGAUAUGUCGAUGAAUUCCGAUGUAGUUGUCUUCAUGCAUGAAUUCAAAUCUGUUGAGCUACUCUCUGCUGUGAUUGUUAAAUCCAGGGCUCCAAGGGUGACGGAAAUCUGUGUUGGUAUUCUUGGUAAUCUCUCCUGUAAUCCAACCGUUUGUUCAGAGAUGUCAACAAACCCAGAAUUUAUAAAUAUGGUUUUGUUGUUAUUGGAGAAUCCCGAUGGACUUUGUUUGGUACAGACUGUCAGGUUGCUAUAUUGCUGCCUCCAGAGUGAAGAACACUAUUUGCCAUGGGUUGCUGCUAUCAAAGAUCAUGAAGCCAAUAUUUUAGAACUUGUCAAAUUCAUCAUGGCUAGUUCUACAAAUGUGGAAUUAUUGAAGAACGUCGGAGAAUUAUUAAACCUGUUGUUCUAUCUUGAAGAUGAACUUUGUGAAAGAUGGAGUACAACAGCCAUGUUGACAGCCAUGCUGGAGGCUGUCAAGGAAAUUGGCUUCCAACCUUGUCCUGCCUUAGAAGUGUUUAUCCACAAUUUUCAGCUCAUGUCAUGUUCACAAAAUGGUGUCUUGGCCUUGGAAAACAUGUCACAGCCCAUCUUGGAGGUUUUGAUGAAAUACUUAAUGUUUCUCUGUGAUGAACCAAUUGUCCCUGUGGAUUUGAAGGCCAAAUAUCUCGCAGCUAUACUCUCUCUGAUCAAUCUGAUUUUCUUGCAAGGAUCAAAGUUUGAUAUUGGUUCUUUCUACAAAAUCGACAUGUUUCCAAAAUGUUUAUUCAAAAUCCUGGAAGGUUUAUUUCCAUACAUCUAUCAUCCUGUGGAAUCUUCAGAUUCUGAUGGCAACAAACCCAAGAAGAAACAUCAUCACCACCAUCACCAUCACCACCAACAACCACAACAACACUCGCUGUCAGUGGUCGAAGAUCUUGCCAGCUUUAAACGCUAUCAAUGGAAAAAGGAGAUCAGUGGUUGUGAUCCUUCUUUAGCUGUUCUGUACAAGGCACUCCACUCCUCUUUCCUUCGUCUUAGCUGGCUUAUUCCAAAAGUAAAAAACUACAGAAGACUCCGUUUGGUGUCAGCUACUCCAUUACCUGGACACAGAAUGCUCCGAGUUACACCUACAUUACUUGUUGCUUAUUUUACAAGAUGAGAGUGAGGACAUCAAGAAUCCAUUGCAUCACCUCAAAGCUGUCAGUGAUAGCAACGGACUGUACAGACUCCAUCACGUUGUCAUGGAUACAGUUGUCGAUGAUGACUGAAUGUAGAUUCCUGCUGCUUUUAUUCACACGAGAGGUCAGGUGGCUGCGGAGGGGUUGUUACUUUCUGUCUGAGCGGGUAAAUUAAUAGAGAUGUAUAUGCUAGUAAGUGUGUAUAUGUGUGUAUAUUGCAUAUGAAUUUAUAUGUAUGUAUACUACACUCUGUAAAAUGGUUGGCAUUAGGAAGGGCAUCCAGC
rnacentral:misc_RNA from 1 species